ACGCUAGCUACAGGCUUAACACAUGCAAGUCGAGGGGAAACGGCAUUAAGUGCUUGCACUUUUUGGACGUCGACCGGCGCACGGGUGAGUAACGCGUAUCCAACCUUCCCAUGACUAAGGGAUAACCUGCCGAAAGGCAGACUAAUACCUUAUGGUCUUCACUGACGGCAUCAGAUGUGAAGUAAAGAUUUAUCGGUUAUGGAUGGGGAUGCGUCUGAUUAGUUAGUUGGCGGGGUAACGGCCCACCAAGGCAACGAUCAGUAGGGGUUCUGAGAGGAAGGUCCCCCACAUUGGAACUGAGACACGGUCCAAACUCCUACGGGAGGCAGCAGUGAGGAAUAUUGGUCAAUGGGCGAGAGCCUGAACCAGCCAAGUAGCGUGCAGGAUGACGGCCCUAUGGGUUGUAAACUGCUUUUGUAUGGGGAUAAAGUCAAUCACGUGUGAUUGUUUGCAGGUACCAUACGAAUAAGGACCGGCUAAUUCCGUGCCAGCAGCCGCGGUAAUACGGAAGGUCCGGGCGUUAUCCGGAUUUAUUGGGUUUAAAGGGAGCGUAGGCUGGAGAUUAAGUGUGUUGUGAAAUGUAGACGCUCAACGUCUGACUUGCAGCGCAUACUGGUUUCCUUGAGUACGCACAACGUUGGCGGAAUUCGUCGUGUAGCGGUGAAAUGCUUAGAUAUGACGAAGAACUCCGAUUGCGAAGGCAGCUGACGGGAGCGCAACUGACGCUGAAGCUCGAAGGUGCGGGUAUCGAACAGGAUUAGAUACCCUGGUAGUCCGCACAGUAAACGAUGGAUGCCCGCUGUUGAUACGUGGUAUCAGCGGCUAAGCGAAAGCAUUAAGCAUCCCACCUGGGGAGUACGCCGGCAACGGUGAAACUCAAAGGAAUUGACGGGGGCCCGCAC
rnacentral:rRNA from 1 species